AUACUGUCAGCAGCAGAGUGACUGUGGAGAAGAGACACAACAACAGCUUCACCUGUAGAGUCCACCAGAAGAACAAGAACCACACUAGAGAGACACAAUUCACUGUUCCAGAUGGUUUCUUUAUUGUCCAGUCCAGUUCUGCUCCCAUUAUAAUUGGUUUGGCUGUUAGUCUGGCAGUUUUGACCAUCCUGUUUGUCCUGUUACUUUUCUUUUUUGUGAAAAAAUGGAAACAGAGGCAACAACUAUCCAUAACCAAGACAAGCGACAGGGAUGGACCUGAAGAAGGAGAAAAGAAUAACUUCUCUGAAACUAACAAAAGUGAAGAUCAGCUCACUGAAGACGAAAGAG